UACGGAGGGGGCUAGCGUUGUUCGGAUUUACUGGGCGUAAAGCGCACGUAGGCGGACUUUUAAGUCAGGGGUGAAAGGCCUGGGCUCAACCCGGGAACUGCCUUUGAUACUGAGAGUCUCGAGUCCGGGAGAGGUAAGCGGAAUUCCAAGUGUAGAGGUGAAAUUCGUAGAUAUUUGGAAGAACACCAGUGGCGAAGGCGGCUUACUGGACCGGAACUGACGCUGAUGUGCGAAAGCGUGGGGAGCGAACAGGAUUAGAUACCCUGGUAGUCCACGCCGUAAACGAUGAGUGCUAGUUGUCGGGGGUUCGGCCUCCGGUGACGCAGCUAACGCGUUAAGCACUCCGCCUGGGGAGUACGGCCGCAAGGUUA
rnacentral:rRNA from 1 species